rnacentral:rRNA from 1 species
GACGUAGGUGGCGAACGUUAUCCGGAAUUAUUGGGCGUAAAGGAUGCGUAGAUGGUGUAGUAAGUUAUCGGUGGCAAAUCGAGGCUCAACCUCGUGGAAGUCGGUAAUACUGCUAUGCUAGAGGAUAGGAGAGGUUAACGGAACUCCCUGUGGAGCGGUGAAAUGCGUAGAUAUAGGGAAGAACACCAAUAAAGGCGAAGGCAGUUAACUAUUCUAUUCCUGACAUUGAGGCAUGAAAGCGUGGGGAGCAAAACGG